AAGGAAUCUAUGUGCUUGGGAUGGGUGGAGCACAGCAGAAGCACAGGUGGGCCACUGCAUGGAUGAGUCCUUUGGGUUUUUUUGUCAUGCAAUUGUGGACAAAAUCUCUCUGAAGGCAUGUCUCCAGGAAUUCCUUUGUGGUAUGUUUCCUAUGUGCAGGCAUCAAGAAUCCAGACCAUAUGAUGUAUAAAAGAGAUGAAAUAAGUUUUCAAUUUAUUUCCAGGGAGUAAAUAAGUAACUGUUGAAGGAGGGAAACCAACCCCAGAUGCUAUUUAGGGCACCAAGCUUUACUUCACUACAUGAUGCUUGAUAUUCUGAAAUCCAUUCUGCCUUUCUCCCUUUCUCCUAAACAACUUCACCCCUUCUGCACAAGAAAACAAUGCUAAACAGUCUUUUCAUAUUUUGUUUAUAUUUUA
rnacentral:lncRNA from 1 species